UUUGGCAGAGCGUUCCGCAAGAAGCACACGACGUUUGGGAUCAACACGAUGAAAUUUGCGGCUUCGGCACCAGUAUUCACUUGAUUCAACGACAGAAAUGGAUAACUUAUAUAAGCGAACCUUGUCGAGUAGUAAAAAUCUAAAGGUAAUAGGAACUACCUCACCUAAGCGAAACGACUUGCCAGAAACCUGUAAUUCAUAGUGAAGACGUUCAUCCCAAUCACGUGAGAUAUUAAUAAGCUCAGAGGAAGAAAGACUAGCGGGAGAUGGUGUGCGGACGAGUUGGACAGGGGUACGGCCAUUAAGAUUACUUUUAAAUGUGCCAAAUCUUUCUACUGUAGCUUCCAGAAAAUAUCGUACCCAACCCAUUUUUGCUUCUACCGAUUCGGGAAAACAAUUGGGUAUAGCUAAAUCAAAAUUAUAAGUAUAUUCACCUGGAGCAAAAACACUAUAACCCCUAAGACUGGCGGCAGCAGACGAAGGAAGAGGUAAUUGCUCACCAACUAGACGUGCUACAUCGGCACCGUGUUGAGGAGCGUCAGCGUCUUUCAUAGUUGGUUCAUAGAACUUCCAAUUGUGAGAUAUAAUUACCUUAUCCUCAUAAGUGUCAUGCCCUUUAACCGGAAUGCCCUCUGGCCACUCAGUUCUUGAUCGACCAGUAAAAGAUAGGCUGAUUCCACGAAUGUUUGCAGGCUUUGCAACACGCAAAACAAGGGCACCACGUAAAAGAGCAGGGUUCUCAAUUUGACAUUCAUUAAGAUCAAACCCGGCUAGGUAUAAGACGGGUUCAAGAAGAACAAUGGAAAGCGACAUGCCACCUCCAUGAGAGGAGGCAAGAGCUUUCUUGAUUACAGGAGGAACAACAUCAGAGACGUUGUUUCCAAUGAUGGAGGUGACUUUUGACGUACCAAACAGGUUUGCAGACGAGGGACUCCAAGUAAGAGGAGGUUUGUUGCUCAUGUUGCGCACCGGCGUGAGGGCUGGGUUUGGUAAGACAUUGCCGCCGGUAUUGGAAGAGGAAUUAUUUGAAUUAUUAAUAGAUGAUAGAGACGGCUUGCUUAAUCUAGAAGACAAGCCGGAGGAUGGAAGGCCGAAGACUGAAUUUCUACGAUUGAGGCCCGAAUUACUGGAACGGUUUUCAUAAGGAUUAGAAUCAUUAUCAUCUCGAGAAGAACCAUUUUGGUGGUGUAAAGAAGCCGAUAUCGAUUUCCCAAAGCGACUAAGCGCUGGAAUAUUCAAUUCGCCCCUCAUAUGGAGUUUGGCGGGAGGAGGGAGAGGUGGUAGUGCACCUGAAUAUGACGAGUCCGGAUACAGAUUUGAAAUUUUCAAAAGGUGAUACAAAGUUGGGAAAAAAAAGAAUAAAGAAUUACAAAGAAAAAAAGAAAAAGUUACGACCUUGUAAUUCCAACAAUGGCCACACUUUUUUUUUUCUGUGUCUCGGUUUCAAAGCGGAUAAAUAAACAAACGGAAAACCGAGAUCCGUAAAUGCAGUCAACAGAAAAAAAACUUGUACAGUACAAGCAGCAAAGAGCUAGAAAAUGAGAAAUGUAUGUAUAUUUUGGGAGAAGACAAACCUGAAAUAACACGAAAAAACAGUUGAGCUACACGGGUUGCAACAGAGCCCACGGUUCGAAUAGAUAGGUACUGUCUUCCAGUUACCUUUAGGAUUGGAGGGAAUUUUUUUGCUAUUUUAGCUAAUAAGGAUUUGAAAAUAAGGCCACUAUUUUUUUAAGUAGUUCGAAAUAAGAACGUGCAAACACGACACCAAGGUAGGAAUGAACGCUAGAAAAUGGAUCGCUGCUAAAGCGAAAGAGAAGGUAAAAAUGCAAGAAAUAAGUUAAUAUGUAUAUAGAUAUGCUCUCAAGGUCAAUCGUUCGAUAGUAGUCUCAAAAUAGAGAAAAAAAAGCAAGGAUUGGCAUAAACAACAGAUAGAUAUGAAUAAGAUGGCGAAUCUGCUUUUUGAAACUUGGCGUUAUCUAAGAUAAAAAAGAAAUUGUUCCAAGAUGGAAGCUGUAAAGCACUCCAAUGCAACAAAAAUGCAACACAAAGUAAUAAGCCAACUUGCUAGUUUAUAAGUGAAGAGAGAGUAGAGUCCCUUCAAGAAGGUGUUGCAAAGGCAGGGUUGUGAAAUUGGUGAAAUUUCAAUCUCAUAAGGUAACGAAAUCGGAGAAGGCGAGGCAGACACUUUUGUCUAAUCACUAGUCCUUAAGUCUUCAAUUGCUCGAUUAUCUACCGGGUGCAGAAGGGAAUCAAAUGGCUGGCCUCUUUGACAUACUUGUUACCAAUCGUCUGUGAUUACCGAAACAAAUGAGUCAGCAAGGUUAAAGAGCAAUUCG